rnacentral:rRNA from 1 species
AAUUGAAAGCUGGAAUGAAUGGCUGAAUAAGGAAAUUACUGUCUCUUUUUAAUUAAUUAAAAUUUUAUUUUUAAGUUAAAAAGCUUAAAUUUAAUAGAAAGACGAGAAGACCCUAUAGAGUUUAAUAAAUCUAGUUUUUUGUAAGUGAGGAUUAUAUAAUAUAAUGACCUUGAUUUAUUUUGUUGGGGUGACAAUAGAAUUUAAUAAACUUCUUUUUUAUAAUCAUUGAUUUAUGAAUAAAUGAUCUUGAUUUUUGGAUUAAAAGAAUAAAUUACCUUAGGGAUAACAGCGUAAUUUUUUUGGAGAGUUCUUAUCAAUAAAAGAGAUUGCGACCUCGAUGUUGGAUUAAAGUUUAAUGUUGGUGAAGAAGCUAAUAUAUUGAGACUGUUCGAC